rnacentral:lncRNA from 1 species
GUUUUACUUCUCCACAUAGUGCUUAAGCCACCUGAUUAUGAGAGAGCAAACCAGUCCAACAUUUAAAUCACAGUCAGGACUCUUACCAGGUAUGUUAAAGCGCACCAAAUACAGUCGUCUGCGUCAUGAUUCCCUGACAUCUUUGGAGGACUGUCCUGAUAGAACGCUGCCUCUGAAGAGGGACCUUUGUUUGGACUCUGACUUUGCUCAGCUGGAUCCUGGGACACCCUCUGACCCUGGACCGUCCACCCUGAGGGACUUCAUCCCCCGCGUGGCCAGCAUUCAACUGCAAAGUCCUCUAACCCUGAGAGGCCAAAGGGAACAGACAAGUACCAGUGCACCCAAAGACAAACCCCUGUCCAGCACAGAUUGGGGCUUAGAGCCGGGUGGCAAAUUUUGUAGGCACCCUUCCCUCAAUGAUCCCUUCCCCACGAGCCAAAACCUUAUCCACCCGACUCUGCUCUCUGCAAAACGACCCAUCAGACUGCACCGGAUGGCCAGCCUCCCCUGUCCCCCGUGCUCGCAGCACGGAGAUGGUCUGUGCUGUUUAAAGACUUUCUCUGCAGUAGAUGACUGUACAGUGGUGAGGACAGCAAAAGGAACGGCCCACCAUCACAUUAAGUACAUUGGUAGUGUGGAGGUCACCCAAUCCAUGAGGACUCUCAACUUUGACACAAGAAUGCAAGUCACAAGGUACGACAGCCCCCUCUCCACAUCACAUGAAACACAUUAAUACACUCGACCUACAUGGUAACUCUUUCUGGCCCGCUUUGCCCUGAAUCACACAUAUGUCGUACUUCCUUUUAAUGAAAAUUAAUUAUGUGUGUUUGGACUAUGUAUGUCAAGUAUUUAGAGAUUUAUUAGCUUCUGAAACAUCAUAAUUUAAAAUACUACACAUCAGAAGUCGCAUAUAUAACGCCACCACAGCAUAGCUGCUACUUACACACGGACACAGUUUUGACUUUAGAAGUGGGGGGACACAACCGGCAUGAGGACCAGGGGGGAUCUUGACAGUAAGUAUACAAAAAGAUGUAAUAUGUAAUGGGAAACAGGCUUCAACACAAGCGGUUGUUUUCCACUUGGUCCUAGUGCUCAACUAGUGUCUAUAUAAUAGAGCGUAAUGUUGUUUUUGGACGAUAAAUGAUGAAUGAUAAAUGACCCGCACUUGUAUAGCGCCUCUCAGAGUAAGGACUCCAAAAGCGCUUUACACUACAGUCUAUCAUUCAUCCAUUCACCCACACAUUCACACACUGAUGGUGAUGAGCUACAGUGUAGCCACAGCUGCCCUGGGGCGCACUGACAGAGGCGCCCAACCACAGAGGAAACAUAAAUUACUUUGGAAAAAAAUUUAUGGGGUGGGGGGGUGGGGGGUCAUGACCGCCCUGUCCCCCCAAAAAACUCUGUCUGUGUACUUACCACAUGGCCAGAUUUAUGGUUUUAUUCAUUUUUCAAGGUCAUCCUUUCAUCCUGGAGGAAAGAUGCAAAGCUUGCUAAACUCACAGCCAGUUUUUUUUCCUCGUGUCUGGUUUGAUGACAUAAAUUUGGUGAGUCAGUCACAUCAUGUUUUCACACAAACCUAAAGUACAUUUAGCCUUCUAUCAAAAAUAAGCAGUUUCUUGGCAUCAAACGGUGGACAUCAUAUGUUAAAUCCAAGGCACAUAUCAAACAGAUUCAAAAAAUAACGUUAAAUUGGCCCAUAGACUCCCAUUCAUUUUCUUUUUUUGGCAGUAGGGUACUUAUGGAAAGGAAUUAGAUGGGACUCUGUACUCUAUACUUUUGAAAAACAUUUUAUUGGACAAAUGUACAAUAUUACAAUCAGUAAAAUUUAACUGGCACUUAUGACCUACAGUACUUUUGUCUUUCAUAGGGGGACAGGAGACAUGUACAUAAUUCCAUGGUGCUGAAGUUUAAGGAAUGUACAAAUCCUGUUAAAGAGAUAGAGGUCUAAGAAACUUUUUAACAUUCAUGCAUUCAUUAUUAAACAUUUUAUUAUGUUCCAUACGAAUCAAGAUGAACAGACAAUCGGCUCAGUACACCAGAGGAGUCAAACUCCAGCUACUGGCUGAACCACCAUCCCAGAACUACAGUAAAUAAGAGCCUGUUCUCCAUCUGAAUUACCUACAAGAGAGCUCAUGACUUGAUGCCACUCACAUGGAGACUCCAUCAAGAGUGAUUAGGAAUUUACUAGAAAACUCAAAAGGACAAUUAAAAGCUUAUUUCUCAAGUUAGCAUCAUGUGUGGCAGAAACACUAAAUGUCCUGAACUUCUGGUGAAACCAUAACAAAAAGUGGCCAUGGGGAGGAGCACUGAAAGAAAGCAACGCCACUUAACCCUAUUCAUUCUAUAUAAGCCAAGCUGGCCAUGUGUAGCUUAUUAAAAACAAUGUUUCAAAGAAGGGAAAUCAGAUUAAAUGUAUAAUGUUUUAUACAACGGGGCUUUCUCAUCGUCAUCAACAUCCUAGAGCAGAAUGCCAACACACAACCUCUGUUCACAGGAACAGGGCUGUUGAAUGACGGAGCAGAAAAUCCAAUUAGGUGAAUUUCCUCCUAAUGAUCUCUCAUGGUCUCAUUAAAAAGAGAGCUGGAGAGCGAUCACAAUCCAUUAUGGAUAAUUUAUUUUCAAGGAAAAGAAAAGUUCUUCCAGGAAAAAGAGGCUUGCUACCUACAUGUACACUUUAGACUCUCUGACCUGAACAAGAAAGACUUGUUGUGUAGCCAUAUUGCCCUCAGUCUCUUAUGACUUUACGUUGUUUUCCAAAAUCCUAGACACUGUUUGGAUGUUGUUCUUCGAUAAACUUUCAUGUUAAAUGUGAGGAGUCUCCAUAGAACUUUCUGCUCCAGGCAUGGACCAAAUUUGUGUGUGUGUGUGUGUGUGUGUGUGUGUGUGGGGGGGGGGGGGCAUGUUCCCCCCACUUUUUCCAAAGUCAAGUUUUGACCCCUGCACUUUUUACCGUCCAUAGGCAAUAUUACGCUAUAUUAAAUAGACACUGGUUGAGCUUUUCAAUCUAGUGUAGGACCAAGUGGAACACAGCCAUUUGUGUAGAAGCCUGUUUCCCAUUAGAACAUACUGUAAAGAUCCCCCCCGGUCCUCAUGCCGGUUGUGUCUCCCCCAUUUCUAGUCAAAACUACGUCCAUGGCUCUAGGUAUGAUGGUCUUUUGAUUUUAGCGGUGUCCUGAUAACUUUUCUUGUUUUCCCUCUCCUCAUCAGCUAAGAAGAUGAAGAGAAAAUUACCUUCAAACUAAAUUCUAUAUUUUGAUUGAGAACACGGUUGUGCUUUACCUUAGUCCACUUUAAAGGGUCUGUGGAAGUUUGUGUUCAUGUUUUUCUGUACAAGGGUUCUAGCUACAUGAUUUAUGCUAUCUCUAGUGUAACAAGAUUUUUCCUGGAUUCCCAGAAUUCUUUUAUGCCAAUGUUCCUAACUGGUUAGUAAAUAAUUUAAUUAGUAAUAAAAUAUUUUGUUUUAUUUCUGUGUGUGUGUGUGUGUGUGUGUGUGUGUGUGUGUGUGUGUGUGUGUGUGUGUGUGUGUGUGUGUGUGUGUGUGUGUG